UAUGAGAUACCUGUUUCUUUGUCCACAUCUCCUUUUGAGAUAUCAAUGGAAUCAGUAAUUCCUCUGAAUCC
rnacentral:lncRNA from 1 species